rnacentral:rRNA from 1 species
GCCCUCGCGGGCCCCUCGUUCUCACUCUGGAUGCAAUGCACCCCUCGUACGGGUGCUAGUCUCGGUCCUCUUGGGCCUUGACAAAACUUUUGUAAUCCAUCAUCAUGCCUAUUGCCAAUACAAGAGAUUAUUACAACCAGUAGCGUUGGAUCCCUUGGCACGUCGUUCGAUGAAGACCGUUGCAAAAUGCGAUAAGUGGUGUGAUAUGCAAGUCCAAAACUUAUACGUGAACCAUCGAAUUGUUGAACGCACUGCAUCGAGCCUUAUCCAGGAACGAUACGCCCCAUUGAGCGUCAUUAUGUCUUCGCGACAUCGUGUCUUUCUGACUCGAUGUCCGGGUUCGGGAUUCACGGCCGGUCAUCGGUCGCGCUUCCUUAGAUGAAUUGGCUGUGCCGGAGCGAGCAGUGACCUUGUCAUGAAUGUCGAGGUGUGCUGUCUUUUGGUCCGAGCGCAAGAUCCUCCUUUCUGUUGGGUGGGAUCAGAACGUGCGGCCUAGCGUCGUUGCGACUUCUACACAUGACCUCACGGGGGUGGGACGACCCGCUAGACUUAAGCAUAUUAAUCAGCGGAGGAAAAGAAACUAACAAGGAUUCCCCUAGUAACUGCGAGUGAAGAGGGAUUAGCUCAAUGUGUGAAUCGGGUUGGGAUUAGCCCCCGUCUCGAGUUGUGCACUAUAGACGCCGGAUCAGCGUUUGAAGGAUCGAGGUGGAUGUCCGAUGAAACUCGGUGCCAUAGAGGGUCAUAGUCCUGUACUUGCCUUGUCAUCCUUUGCGCAUUUGACCGGUGUUCUGCGAGUCGCGUAGUUUUGUAUUGCUGCGCUAAGUGGGAGGUAGAGCCCUUCUAAAGCUAAAUAUGGCGACGUGACCGAUAGCACACAAGUACCGCGAGGGAAAGGUGAAAAGCAACCAUGCAGAAUGGGUUGAAACAGCAGUGAAAGCGCUACUGGGAUAAGGGCUGGGGAUUGCUUGUGUCACUUGCGCGUGCUUUAGUGCUGUGCUUGCGAACGGCGUGCUUUCGUUCGGAUGGGGAGAACAGGGCCUCGGGAAUUCGGCUGGAUCCGUCCAGUGUUGCAGCCCGGGUGCCAGUGGAGCCC